rnacentral:rRNA from 1 species
UACGGGGGGAGCAAGCGUUGUUCGGAUUUACUGGGCGUAAAGGGCGCGUAGGCGGCCAGCACAAUUCAGUUGUGAAAUCUCCGAGCUUAACUCGGAAAGGUCAACUGAUACUGUGCGGCUAGAGUGCGGAAGGGGCAACUGGAAUUCUUGGUGUAGCGGUGAAAUGCGUAGAUAUCAAGAGGAACACCUGCGGCGAAGGCGGGUUGCUGGGCCGACACUGACGCUGAAGCGCGAAAGCUAGGGGAGCGAACGGG